UGGUGGAGUGAUUUGUCUGGUUUAUUCCGUUAACGAACGAGACCUCGAUCUGCUAGUUACGUCGGCAUCAUUUUCGGAUGGUCGUCGGCUUCCUAGAGAGACUGCGUGUGUGGAGCACGAGGAAGUUCGAGGCGAUAACA
rnacentral:rRNA from 1 species